rnacentral:rRNA from 1 species
UACGGGGGGGGCAAGCGUUGUUCGGAAUUACUGGGCGUAAAGGGCUCGUAGGCGGCCAACUAAGUCAGACGUGAAAUCCCUCGGCUUAACCGGGGAACUGCGUCUGAUACUGGAUGGCUAGAGUGUGGGAGAGGGAUGCGGAAUUCCAGGUGUAGCGGUGAAAUGCGUAGAUAUCUGGAGGAACACCGGUGGCGGAGGCGGCAUCCUGGGCCACGACUGACGCUGAGUGAGCGAAAGCCAGGGGAGCAAACGGG